rnacentral:rRNA from 1 species
CACGUAGGGGGCGAGCGUUGUCCGGAUUUAUUGGGCGUAAAGAGCUCGUAGGCGGCUCGGUAAGUCAGGUGUGAAAACUCUAGGCUCAACCUAGAGACGCCACCUGAUACUGCUGUGGCUAGAGUCCGGUAGGGGAGCAUGGAAUUCCUGGUGUAGCGGUGAAAUGCGCAGAUAUCAGGAGGAACACCGGUGGCGAAGGCGGCGAUCCUGGACCGACACUGA